rnacentral:rRNA from 1 species
GACAGAGGUGCCGAGCGUUAGGCGGAAUCACUGGGCUUAAAGCGUGUGUAGGCGGACUUCUAAGUACCUUGUGAAAUCCCACGGCUCAACCGUGGAACUGCUUGGUAUACUGGUCGUCUUGAGCCAUCUAGGGGCUGUCGGAACAAAUGGUGGAGCGGUGAAAUGCGUAGAUAUCAUUUGGAACGCCAAUGGUGAAAACAGCUCGCUGGGAAUGAUCUGACGCUGAGACGCGAAAGCCAGGGGAGCGAACGGG